CCUACGGGUGGCAGCAGUGAGGAAUAUUGGUCAAUGGACGGAAGUCUGAACCAGCCAUGCCGCGUGCAGGACGACGGCUCUAUGGGUUGUACACUGCUUUUGUAGAAGGUUAAACCUGAAUACGGGUAUUCAGCUGAAUGUACUGUACGAAUAAGGAUCGGCUAACUCCGUGCCAGCAGCCGCGGUAAUACGGAGGAUUGAAGCGUUAUCCGGAUUUAUUGGGUUUAAAGGGUGCGUAGGCGGAUUGAUAAGUUAGAGGUGAAAUUUCCGGGCUUAACUCGGGAACUGCCUCUAAUACUGUUGAUCUAGAGAGUAGAUGCGGUAGGCGGAAUGUAUGGUGUAGCGGUGAAAUGCUUAGAGAUCAUACAGAACACCGAUUGCGAAGGCAGCUUACC
rnacentral:rRNA from 1 species